UGACCCUUUAUGUGAAGCAGAACAGCCGCUUCCGCAGUGAGCUGUCAGAAGGCGUCGUGCCUGUCUUGCUAGUGGGGAAACUGAGGCUCAGAGAGGCAGAAGACUUGCCCAAGAUCACACCACCGGGACCCAGGAUUCAAGCGCAGGCCUGCCCAGGCUCUCUGUGGCCUCCUGGCUGCGAGGAGGCAGCCAGGGACCAGGUGCCACCCUUCUGAGACACCUGAGAUCCCAGGCCCGAGAGGAUGAAGGCGGGAUUACCUGGAGCGUGUCUGAAUGCUGGAGGAAGAAGGGCAGCUGGGAGAUGAAGCUGUCAGGAUGGGCCGCAUCCCAUUUCCUGCCUCGUUUCAGUUCAACUUUCCAACAGACCUCCCUGGCUCGUCUUGCUCUUCUCUAAUGGACAAACAAACAGGCUCAGAGAGGUGGUGUGACUUGCCCAAGGUCACUCAGCUUGGAUGCUAUGGAACAGGGACGUCCACUGUCCCAGUCUGUUUAUGGGAAGCCGCUCUGCAACUGUCCUGACCCACCACAUGCCCCACCGCUGUUUCUCUUGCCCUGACCCCUUGUUCCCUGGACCAGGGUGGCACAGCUCCAGGCUCUUGGGCCCUUCCCGAGGGCAGGCACCUGUGACUGUGUCCCCAAAGACCUGAGUGGCUGAGGGGGCCCCACAGAGCUUGGACUUCCUGGAGGACAAGGAGGGGUCUGCCAGCCACCCCCACCACGCCCGCCCCAGGGCUCCCCUGGAGCUUCCAUGCCAGCCGGACUCAGGUGGGUCUGGAGGAGCACCGUGCCUCCAAUCAGACCUUGAGAUGUGCCCCCUGCCCCCACUGUGCCCUCCCCUGCCCAGGAGUCUGGUUGCAAACCCUGAUUAAGGGGAUUUUAUCUCCACCAGAGGGCCAGUAGGUGGGAAGUAGCUUAAACAAUGCAGGUUUAUAAUCUCACAGUUCUGGAGGUCAAGAGUCUGAAAUGGGCCUCAUGGGGCUAAAACCAAGGUGUCUGCAGGGCUGUGUUCCUUCUGGAGGCUCCAGGGCAGGAAGGGGAGGAUCCACUUCUGUGCCUUUCCAGCUUCUAGAGGCUGCCUGCGUUCCUUGGCUCGUGGCCCCUUCCUCCACCUUCAAGCCAGCAGCGGAGGCCUGAGUCCUUCUCAUGCCAUCUCUCUGUUCUCUCUCCUGCCUCCUCCUCCACACUGAAGGACCCCUGUGAUCACACUGGCCCCCCCACCGGAUGACCCAGGAUAAUCCAUCUCCCUGUUUGAAGGUCGGCUGAUUAGCAACCUUCAUUCCAUCUGCCUCCUUCAUUCCCCCUGGCCAUGUAAUGGGAUUCACAGCUUCUGGGGAUUAGGACAUGGACAUCUUGUGGCGGGGGCAUAAUUCUGUCGACGACACCAAGAAACACUUGGAUGUUAAGGAUUCACCGAACACUGUUCAGGCUCCAGGUGCUGGGAGCAGCAGUGAACAAAGCCAACAGACACUGCCACCCUCAAGGAGUUCACGUUCAUGGGCGAGGGAACAGAUGAGAAACCCGGCAAUGAAAGUAAGUAGCAUAAUUGACUUGAAAAGUGCCGGGGAGAAAGAGAAGAUGGAUGGAGAAUGACACCUGGCCCCUUCUCUAUUUCUUUAUUUGUUUCACUCUUGUUGCCCAGGCUGGAGUGCAAUGGCACAAUCUCAGCUCACUGCGACCUCUGCCUCCCAGCUUCAAGUGAUUCUGCUGCCUCAGCCUCCCAAGUAGCUUGGAUUACAGGCAUGCACGCCCAGCUCAUUUUUUUUUUUUUUUUUUUUAGUAGAGACGGGGUUUACACCAUGUUGGCCAGGCUGGUCUCAAACUCGUGACCUCAGGUGAUCCACCUGCAUCGGCCUCCCAAAGUGCUGGGAUUACAGGCAUGAGCCACCGUGCCCAGCUCCCCUUCUCUAUUUCUAAGGUGACCCAGAUUCCUUUACUGCUUUCUGGCAAAUCCACCUCUGGCCAGGCAGUAGGCCGGCAACGCAGGGCUUGAAGGCCAUAAUGGGGACGUUUGUCUAAUGGUGA
rnacentral:lncRNA from 1 species